UAAGCCCAGCGCAUAACCUCCCGGGCUACCAAGCUUGCGGCGGAAUGUUGCGUCAAGGGAAAGGUCGUUAUCAGGCCCUGCACAGCGUGUUCCUAAAUACGUCUUGAAUAUUCACUGUCUUCUAACGAAGGCUACGGUUCCAUAGAGGGUGAGAGCCCCGUCUGGCCGCGUGACUAUGUGCAUGGGUUCGGCUUCAUUCCCUGAGAGUCGCGUUGCUUGAGCAUGCAGCGCUAAGCAGGUCGUAAACUCGACCUAAGGCUAAAUAUUUCCACAGAACCGAUAGUAAACAAGUACCGUGAGGGAAAGUUGAAAAGCACUCUGAAGAGAGAGUCAAAAGACCGUGAAACCGUUCACAGUAUAAGCCAAUGGUUACUCGGAAGGCUGGGACACCGGGCUUCCCAUUGCGGGACACGGGCAUCGUGUGUGAAUGAUUCUGGUACUUGUGGCAGACAGUGGCAUUGAGUUGAUAUCACGCCUCUAGGGAACUUGCGGGGUUUUGAGAGUGUUCACAGGGACCGGUUCUAAAGAGGAUCCGACCCGAGGCUCGCCUUUUAGCAAGCAGGUAUUGAAAAUCACACAAACGAUCGUCUAAAUACGGCCCACCACAACUCUUUGUGCGGUCACCCACACGGGCAUGGAGCUGACUGUUGUUGCGAGCUCUGGCUAUCUAACGCGCUGCCAAGGCCGGGCGACAGUUCUGUGCGUUACAAACUCGUGUGUUUGGUAUGAUCCGCGGCGAAGGUUGCUUUCUGACCAUCCUGAUUCAUGAACGUGACUCCCUAGGUCGGUAGGGGUCUGCGAAAGUGGACCGGCUGAGACAAACCCAGUGGGCUUCACGUUUGAUGCGGGUGAUUGGUGAUUAUUCUGGGACCAUCGGUCACGUCUCGAAACACGGGCCAAGGAGCAUAGCAUGUGCGCAAGUCCAAGGGUCUCACAAAACCCGCAGGCGAAGUGAAAGCAAAUGGUGUGUCUGUCGUCUUCGCGGACGGCGGGCAGUCUGCUGAUGUGUGCAAUUCCCGCGUGGAUGAAUGCACCUCCGGCUUUAACCGGGUUGAUCCGGCGUAAUCAAGACUCUUGUCGAUGCGCCGGCGCAAACCCCAGGCUCUCAGUCAACAUGUCACGUGUUUGGGAGCACUGAAUAGCGUGCAUGCUAUGACCCGAAAGAUAGUGAACUAUGCCUGGCGA
rnacentral:rRNA from 1 species